CCUGACCUUGUGAUUCGCCCGUCUCGGCCUCCCAAAGUGCUGGGAUUACAGGCUUGAGCCACCGCGCCCGGCCGUCAAAUACAGUUUUUAAGGAAAGGAAGAGCAUCUUAGGAUAAACAGGAGCUGGAAAGGUGAGGGGUGGGAGAGUGCUGCAUCCGUGUGGCUGCCAGCAGUGCCCAGAUACCAGGCUUUGGGGAAUGAGUGGAUGGCAGGACCAUUUGCUAAGACAGGCGCCAGGGGAUGGGAGAAAGGAUGAGUUUUAGAAAGAUUCAAUGGGACUAGACUGAAUAUGGGCAGUUCGAUACUAGACUUUGGAAUUUAAAAAUAAUAUCUGGAGUUAGAAUUGAGAGACAAUAACGUGGAGAUGGAGGUCAGGCUGCAGUGCGGUGACAUCACCUAUGGAGCAUAUGAGGAAAAGAAUCUGGAGGAGGAGGAGGGGAGCCAGCAGGGGAGCAGCUGUGGGUUGGAGGAAGCCAGGAGGGAGAGUGCAAUGCCAAGAAAGCAAGGAAGAGCGUUUCAAAGCAUGUCUGCAGAACCCAGUACUGCGAAGAGCACUGGGAAUGGGAUUGCUGAGGGCCCUUCUCACAGUGAGUCCUUCAAGAGCAACGUCCGGAUCGUGGGGACUGUUGGCAGACUCAGCCGGCUUUGCUAGGUUGAAGACAAUGGGAGGUGUGGAAGAUUUUUUGGCUCAGUUAAAUAAGAUUGGAGGAAAAGGUAGGACUGAGAGUGUUUCAGACAGAAAAGGGAUUAUAUACUGAGGGUAAAGCACAAGUACAGAGGGUUGCAGAUAGUGCAGAAAUCUUUAAAAACAAUUAUUUUAACCCAACUUCCAGGGAGACUGAAUUUCUUCUGCCGGUCAGUAACACCAUCAACCUGGGAGUUGCCCCGACCCCUCCAGUCUUAGCUCCUGCAGCUGUAACAGAAUACCGCAAACUGGGUGGCUUAUAAAGAACAGACAUUUAUUUCUUACAGUUCAGGAGGCUGGAAGUCCAAGAUCAUGGUGCCAUCAUGGCCGGGUUCUGGUGAGGGCCCUCAUCUGGGAUGCAGCGGCCAGCUUCUCAUGUUCUCACAGUGGGUGGAGGGAAAGUCUCUCGGAAUAAAUGGUUUUUGAGAACCUUGAGUGUAUAUUCUAUGAAAUGGAAGGAACAAGAACUAGACAGAGUCAUAAAUGCUGUUGGUCACGGACAAUCUCUGCCAUCCAUAAGGUAAAUAUAAUACAUACGGCAGCCUGCUGAGUGUGAACUUGGCAGCAGGUGAGGAAGGAACUUUGAACUCUCACAAUCUUGUUUCUUCAUUUCCCAGAGAGAAACUCGGCAAAGAGAAAAGGGACAUUUCCUUCCAGAUUAUCUGAAAGAAUUUCAAUGCUUACCUUUAAUCACGUGACAUCUUAUUAAUAGAAAAGAGGUAUUUGUUCAUAUUUUCAAUAAAAAUUUAUAAAAUCGAGUUGGUAUAUAGUGCUAAAUAUCAUUAAUUAAAAAUAUUUUAACCUGA